rnacentral:lncRNA from 1 species
UCUUGUUUGAAUUCGGAGACCAUUAACAAACAUUUGCAUCUGCUCGGUUUCAUCCAUGUUGUGAGUAGGACAAGCCACUAGGAUUCUCUUGAAUCUCUUAUAGGCUUCUCCUAGUGACUCGCCCUCCUUCUGCUUGAAGUUUAGGAUUUCGUAUCUUUUUCUCAGUGACACUGAUGCAGGAAAAUAUUCAUGCAAGAAUGUUGUUUCCAUCUCCUCCCAUGUAGUGAUACUGCC